UAGGGAAUCNUNNNNNAUGGACGGAAGUCUGACCGAGCAACGCCGCGUGAGUGAAGAAGGUUUUCGGAUCGUAAAGCUCUGUUGUAAGAGAAGAACGAGUGUGAGAGUGGAAAGUUCACACUGUGACGGUAUCUUACCAGAAAGGGACGGCUAACUACGUGCCAGCAGCCGCGGUAAUACGUAGGUCCCGAGCGUUGUCCGGAUUUAUUGGGCGUAAAGCGAGCGCAGGCGGUUAGAUAAGUCUGAAGUGAAAGGCAGUGGCUCAACCAUUGUAGGCUUUGGAAACUGUUUAACUUGAGUGCAGAAGGGGAGAGUGGAAUUCCAUGUGUAGCGGUGAAAUGCGUAGAUAUAUGGAGGAACACCGGUGGCGAAAGCGGCUCUNUGGUCUGUAACUGACGCUGAGGCUCGAAAGCGUGGGGAGCGAACAGGAUUAGAUACCCUGGUAGUCCACGCCGUAAACGAUGAGUGCUAGGUGUUAGGUCCUUUCCGGGACUUAGUGCCACAGCUAACGCAUUAAGCACUCCGCCUGGGGGAGUACGANCGCNAGGUUG
rnacentral:rRNA from 1 species